GGAGGAGUGGCCGAGUGGUUGAAGGCGCAGGUCUCGAAAACCUGUGGAGGAGCAAUCCUCUCGUGAGUUCGAAUCUCACCUCCUCCG
rnacentral:tRNA from 1 species